rnacentral:tRNA from 1 species
GCUGUGGCUAAGUAAUUCAGCACCUGCUUGACAUUCAGAAGGUUCCAGGUUCGAUCCCUGGCACCUCCA